CGGCGGACGGCUGAGUAACGCGUAGGAACGUACCCCAAAGUGAGGGAUAAGCACCAGAAAUGGUGUCUAAUACCGCAUGUGCUCCACGGAGUAAAGCUUCGGCGCUUUGGGAACGGCCUGCGUAAGAUUAGCUUGUUGGUGAGGUAAUGGCUCACCAAGGCGACGAUCUUUAGCUGGUCUGAGAGGAUGAUCAGCCAGACUGGGACUGAGAACGGCCCAG
rnacentral:rRNA from 1 species